UUUAUAUCACACCAGCCGCAUAAUGUUCUUUCCCCUGUUUGCCUUAUGUCUGCAACUCAAAAGCACCUCACACACACAUCUCAUUAAAGCUAAACACCCCACCCCCCUGUUUCUUCUCCGGUGAGACCACCGGCGGCGGUGGCGGUUUCCGGUCGCGACUCUCCGACGCCCCCCUCUACUUCUCCAACACACGCACACCCUGAAUCACCCUGUUCCUCUCCCUCGCUCUGAACAGCCGGCCACCGGAGCCAAUGGCGGCGACGCACGGCGUCGCACAGCACCGGCGACGGGUGUGGCGGGCUCCGCCUCUACUUCGGUAACUUCUGUUCGAUUCUGUUCAAGAUCUUAAGCUUCAUGUUUCGGGUCACCUUUGGUUAGCAGCUAACUCGGUUCAGCAGGUUCGGACCUCGUUCCGGUUCAGUUUUAGUUCGGUUCGACAAGUCAACAUUGGUCUCGGGUCAACACCGGUCAAACCGAUCAGAUUUGAAGUUCGCCACGUCGGAGUUCAUGACAGAACCAUCGUUUUCGGGUGACCUCGGUGUUCCGUCCUCCUAUCUCAUCAACUCGUCAUACUUGGAUAAUCGGAAGACUUAGC
rnacentral:lncRNA from 1 species